AUCCCCAGGGCCAGAGAAACAAAAGGGAAGAGGAAGUUGUAGAACCCAUGGGCCUACUUGCACUUCUGAGGUGUCUCAGGAGGUCCUGGAAACACAGGAGGGCAUACCCAUGACCUCUCACUGGCAAGAUCUAACUAAAAUACGGCUGGCAAUAAAAAUUUGGAAAGGUAAUCUGUGAGGUAUCAGAAACCUACAACACAUAAAAGAAGAACACAGGACAGAAAUCGACGCUGAAGGCAAGGAGAUGGAUUCUCGCUGUCUCCCAGGCUGGAGUGCAGUGGCGCGAUCUCGGCUCACUGCAAGCUCCGCCUCCCGGGUUCACGCCGUUCUCCUGCCUCAGCCUCCCGAGUAGCUGGGACUACAGGCGCCCGCCACCACGCCCGGCUAAUUUUUUGUAUUUUAGUAGAGACGGGGUUUCACCAUGUUAGCCAGGAUGGUCUCAAUCUCCUGACCUCGUGAUCCGCCCACCUCGGCCUCCCAAAGUGCUGGGAUUACAGGCGUGAGUCACUGCGCCCAGCCAACUUUCAGUUUUAUUGACUAUAUAUUUUUGUAAUUAGGUACAUCCAGUCACACUGGAGAAAGAUAGUGUAUAAAUUUAUAACAAUGGGCCGGGUGCGGCCGGCCCAUUUUAUAUAUAUAUAUAAAACAAUGUAUAUAUGUGUAUGCAUACAUGUGUGUAUGUGCUCUAUGUAAUAUAUAUUAUCAUUAAUUGUCAUAGAAAAACAUCUUUAGAAUUAAAAAGAGCUUAGCGAUCAUUUAAAUUGUUCCAAACAUAUAUCUAACAUGCAUGGAGAACCGGUUUUCUCAAAUGAAAUAUGGCCCAAAACUUAAAAAAAUAAGGUUGAAAAAUAAAUAAAGCAAAGUUCCUUUGGCUGAAAGGUAAAAGGCUCAAAGCCCACAAACUUCACCUCGCAGCCACUCACUUUCACUGCAACAGAGCAUUCUCAAGUCACCCCACAAAACCCCUAAUUUUCUUUGGUACACAUUUGACUACUACCAGUCAAUUUUAGUCAUUAUCUUUUGUAAGUUUGAAAAAUGACAUACGAUGAAGUUGCAAAUUAUCUAUAAACAUUUACCUAGUGAGUGACCAGGUCACCCCACCAGAACUCAAAUUCCCUGAUUUCUAGAAGUUUAUUUUUGUCCAAAUAGAAAGGUCCAUCCCAAUGUUGGCUGAAAAUUAAAAUUCUGGUCUUUGAAAAGAGUUGGGCUAUUUGGAAUUUCUGACAAAAACUAAAGAGAGUCUAAGAUUUUCCUGAACUCCACAAGUCAGUUAAUAUUUUCUCUCAGGCCCAGCACUGCCAUUUUCCCUCCUCCCAGGCCUAUGUGCAGCAAAGGCCAGCCCUCCCUUCUUUUCAGAUUUCCUUUCAACUGCUGCUGUGUUUGCCUAUUCCCUUGGAAUCUCUAUUGGAUACCAAUUUCUUGACCCCUCCUGGGUAAAGAAUCACAUGGCUUUGUGUUUUUUGUAUGUUAAAUAAACUUAGCCAAGAUAACAAUUUUGUGGAAUCUUAGUGACUAUUUGUUUUUCUUUCUCGAGCAUUUUUACAUGUUGUCCUGGCUUUAGCUUUUAACAUUAUGGAUAUCAAGAUCUCCUGUCUAUUUAGUAAAGCCUGAACAUGUUCUCGUACGCCUACUCACAAUAAACUUGGACUGAAUU